UUAAUUAUAGCUAAUAAAGCAAUAUCAUUGUUAAUGAUUAGAUAAGUAUUCUUUAAUUAAG
rnacentral:tRNA from 1 species